rnacentral:rRNA from 1 species
AUAUUCUACCAUAUCAUCCUGAAGGCACCAAUCUCAUCUGAUUUGGGGAGCUAAGCAGGGUCUGGUCCGGUGACUAAUUAAAUGGGAGAUGACCAAGGAAUACU